CAGUCGCCGCGGGAAUACAGAGGGUGCGAGCGUUAAUCGGAUUUACUGGGCGUAAAGCGUGCGUAGGCGGCUAAUUGAGUCGGAUGUGAAAUCCCCGAGCUUAACUUGGGAAUUGCAUUCGAUACUGGUUAGCUAGAGUGUGGGAGAGGAUGGUAGAAUUCCAGGUGUAGCGGUGAAAUGCGUAGAGAUCUGGAGGAAUACCGAUGGCGAAGGCAGCCAUCUGGCCUAACACUGACGCUGAGGUACGAAAGCAUGGGGAGCAAACAGGAUUAGAUACCCCUGUAGUCCCUGUCUCUUAUAC
rnacentral:rRNA from 1 species